ensembl:snoRNA small nucleolar RNA SNORA51
GGCACCCUAGUGCUUACCAAGGCUGUGUUUUCACACUGAUUGUACCCAAAGAGGCGGAGUAAACCUACCCCAUAUACACCCCAACCUGGGUCCUUUGCCUGGUCUAUAUUGUGAUUGUGGGGCUAUAA